UGGGGAAUAUUGGACAAUGGGGGAAACCCUGAUCCAGCCAUGCCGCGUGAGUGAUGAAGGCCUUAGGGUUGUAAAGCUCUUUUACCAGGGAAGAUGAUGACGGUACCUGGAGAAUAAGCACCGGCUAACUUCGUGCCAGCAGCCGCGGUAAUACGAAGGGUGCUAGCGUUGUUCGGAAUCACUGGGCGUAAAGCGCGCGUAGGCGGCCAUUCAAGUCAGGGGUGAAAUCCUUGGGCUCAACCCAAGAAUUGCCUUUGAAACUGUAUGGCUGGAGUACUGGAGGGGAUAGCGGAAUUCCUAAUGUAGAGGUGAAAUUCGUAGAUAUUAGGAGGAACACCGGUGGCGAAGGCGGCUAUCUGGACAGUAACUGACGCUGAGGCGCGAAAGUGUGGGGAUCAAACAGGAUUAGAUACCCGCGUAGUCC
rnacentral:rRNA from 1 species